AAAAAUGUGGUCUGCCACUACCUCUGUGACCUUGGACAAAUUGUAAUGCUUGUCCUGCCUCUCCUGAGCCGUCUAAGGAUGGGAUGGUAAUAGUACUAAACGAGCAAGUGACUUGAACAGUGCUGGCAAGUAGGAAGCAAUAAGGGAACGCUAGCUGUUAUUGUCUCUGGCUCCAUAAAUUGUCACUUUCCUCAUUCUCAGAAAAUUAGGUCAUAUUAAGCAUUACUAACUACAAAGGCUUUGACUUCAAGAGAUGAGGAUGAAAACAUCACUUAGAUUCCCUAGGAACAAGCUGGAUGAAAAGGAAGCAGCUCUGAGAAUAGGGAGAAGGAAAAAUCCAAACAGAAGCUUCCGUGUAACUGGCUC
rnacentral:lncRNA from 1 species